GAUGCAAAGCCGCGAGGCAGAGCGAACCCCAAAAAGCCGUCCCAGUUCGGAUCGCAGGCUGCAACCCGCCUGCGUGAAGUCGGAAUCGCUAGUAAUCGCGGAUCAGCAUGCCGCGGUGAAUACGUUCCCGGGCCUUGUACACACCGCCCGUCACACCAUGAGAGUCGGGAACACCCGAAGUCCGUAGCCUAACCGCAAGGAGGGCGCGGCCGAAGGUGGGUUCGAUAAUUGGGGUGAAGUCGUAACAAGGUAAC
rnacentral:rRNA from 1 species